UACGUAGGUGGCAAGCGUUAUCCGGAUUUACUGGGUGUAAAGGGCGUGUAGGCGGGGACGCAAGUCAGAUGUGAAAACCACGGGCUCAACCUGUGGCCUGCAUUUGAAACUGUGUUUCUUGAGUACUGGAGAGGCAGACGGAAUUCCUAGUGUAGCGGUGAAAUGCGUAGAUAUUAGGAGGAACACCAGUGGCGAAGGCGGUCUGCUGGACAGCAACUGACGCUGAGGCGCGAAAGCGUGGGGAGCAAAUAGG
rnacentral:rRNA from 1 species